UAAUAUAAAACUGAAGUUGCUUCUUGUA
rnacentral:piRNA from 1 species